AUGCAUGGGCCGCACAUCGGUGUCAACCCUUCGGCUUGGCUGGGACCACCUGGGUUGGCCAGCAACUUUGACGGAUGCAAUCCAGAAGAGGAAACAAUAUCUCUGUUGAGAGCCACUGCCCUUGGCCUGAAUUCGUCAAACGGUAUUUAUUGGGAGAGCACGAGGGAAGGAAGGAAGAGAUCGGCACACACCCCUAACAGGAGAUGGGGGAUGGGACAGGAUUGGGGGCCGCCCUGGGGGAGGAGGGGACAAAGGUUUGCCGCUGGGUACAAACUCCCUAUCUCAAGCGCAGUUGCUAAGAACGGAGGUGAAACCAUCCUUGCAAUUGGGUGGGCCCUGGGCCCAGUGGGAUUCCCAGGACCAUAAUGAAGGACGGAGGGAGGCAGCAAAGGAGUCUUAUCAGCGUCAGGAUUGUUUUUCGUUUCUUUUCUUUUUAAAUUUUCUUUUUAAAGUUUGAGAGAGAGAGAACGUGAGCCGGGGAGGAGCAGAGAGAGAGAGGGAGAGAAUCAGAAGCAGGCUCCGGGCGCGGUCAGCGGGAGCCCGACGUGGGGCUCAGUCUCACGAACCCUGAGAUCACGACCUGAGCUGAAAUCAAGAGUCUGCCGCUCGACCAGCUGAGCCACCCGGGCGCCCCAGGACUGUUCCUCAAGACUGGAGAAGCAGCAGUUAUCCUAUGUCCCAUGCUUUAGGGGGCUGGGUUACUAAUCCCCUGUGCUAUAGUCUCUAACAACUUCCUGUGUGUUGGCAAAUCCGUAGGCUCCUUCAGGACAAGGACAAAGAAUAGUUUUCUUUUCUGAACUCCACGGUGCUCAGGAAAGCAUUGAACCUGUUGCAGGCCCCCAGUCAAAUAAUCAAGAAAUUGCUGGAUUGCGCCAGCUUGUAUACGAUACACGCCGGACAAUUUUUAGAGCUUUGCAGUAAAGUGUCAGGACAACGGGGGAGGGGUGGGGGGUGGAGGAGCGGCUCACAGCUGUCCCGAGCUUAUUAAGAGUGAAACAGGGGCGCCUGGGUGGCGCAGUCGGUUAAGCGUCCGACUUCAGCCAGGUCACGAUCUCGCGGUCCGUGAGUUCGAGCCCCGCGUCAGGCUCUGGGCUGAUGGCUCAGAGCCUGGAGCCUGUUUCCGAUUCUGUGUCUCCCUCUCUCUCUGCCCCUCCCCCGUUCAUGCUCUGUCUCUCUCUGUCCAAAAAAAAAAAAAAAAGAGUGAAACAAAAAGGAGAAAGACCAGAAAAUAAAAUGGUUUUGUUUGUUGUUGUUGUUUUUUCC
rnacentral:lncRNA from 1 species